AAAGCAGGCCUUUGCUCGAAUACGUUAGCAUGGAAUAAUAAAAUAGGGCGUGCGUUUCUAUUUUGUUGGUUUCUAGAGACGCCGCAAUGAUUAACAGGAACAGUCGGGGGCAUCAGUAUUCAGUUGUCAGAGGUGAAAUUCUUGGAUUUACUGAAGACUAACUACUGCGAAAGCAUUUGCCAAGGAUGUUUUCAUUAAUCAAGAACGAAAGUUGGGGGCUCGAAGACGAUCAGAUACCGUCCUAGUCUCAACCAUAAACGAUGCCGACCAGGGAUCGGCGGAUGUUGCUUAUAGGACUCCGCCGGCACCUUAUGAGAAAUCAAAGUUUUUGGGUUCCGGGG
rnacentral:rRNA from 13 species